AAUUUCUGCAAGUAUUGAACCAUUUCUUCUUAAAGCUACACUUGCCUUUUUUCCUUCAACUCUUUUUAGUCCCUAAUACCAUUUUGAGGACUGUUAAUCCAUUGAAAAAAGGGUUCUUUUUUUGAUCUAAUCUUCUCAAGAUCAUGGGAAAUUGCAUAAAGCCAUCAACAAAACAAAGGCAACUUGAAGAGGAAGACAUGGAGCAGUACGAUCAUCAAGAUUAUCAAGAGAGAGAAUUGGAGGCUGAGUUUGGGAAGGAAAGUAAUGAGAAGGGUAGUCUUAAGGUUAAGAUAGUGCUUACAAAGGAGGAGCUGGAGUGGUUGAUGUUUCAGCUGAAGUUUAAUGAAGGGAAGAAGCUAGAAGAUGUU
rnacentral:misc_RNA from 1 species